rnacentral:lncRNA from 1 species
CGCCCAUCUGCUUUGACCACAGAAGAGCCAGUACGGGGAGAAGAGUAAAGACCGGAGACAGAAGCCCUGACGCAGGUUUUCAGUAUGCAAGUGUUUUUGACUCCACAGCCAGUUGCUUAAAAUGAAACAUAAAGGGCAGCCAGAGUACACACCCAAAUGCAAAAAGGUAAAGAAGGGAGAACAACUUCUCAAAACCAACUGGGCAGUAUGGUGGGGGUGGGGAGCAGUCCUACAGAAGGGGGCCUAGAACUUCCCCCUGGGAACAAAGAACAAACACAAUACAAAGAAAAUAACCACCAAUGCUCUUGCAUGGGUCAGGAGUCUCCAGAGAACAGAUUGUCCCAUCCUCAAACUGGCUUUUUUUUUUUUUUUGCCUUUUUUUUGUCUUUUUUUUUUUCCAUUUUCUUCUUUUGUUGUUGUUGUUUUAGCACCUGUACAAUAAAACUGUACCAUCUCCAACCAGAGCCGGCCACAGCGAGGCCCUCCUGCCUUUGGAUGGUACAUACUCUCUACAAGGAUUGUUUGGAAAAAAUAGCAAUUGGUAGAAAAAUAAGAACAACGGUAGGAAAGACAAUGCCACAGAUGGGGCAGGGGCAGGAAACGGCCCAAGCUCCUCCCUCUCUCCCUCUUUCUCCCAGAACAGACCCAGUGCUGGAGGCCAGGAGGGAGGCCUGGCAGGGCCACACAAUCAGCCCCAGGUCCCUUAGUGGGAGUGGAGCCCAGCUGCAGCCCGGCCUUCUGCCCUCGUCUAGGAAACAGCUGGGGCCUGGAGCUCACAUCUGGCAAUCCAUCCCAGAGCCCUCUGCAGAUUCCGAAGGAGAAUGGGGGGCAGAGGGAGAAGCAGGGAGGAGAGAGGAAGGGGGUGCUGAGUCUGGCAAGGGGGAGAGGUGAGGGUCAAGGGCUGGGAGCUGAGGGGCUCAGCAUCCAGAAAGGGUGAAGGCAGGAGAGGGUGGGUGGCUGGAGGAGGGGGUGGAGAUGCGGAAACAAGCCCAUAUUGCGCACUCUGCGCUCUGAGGGAAGCAGUGAAGGAAGUGUGAGGAGGGGGCGACCUUAGUCUGCAGGCCCACUCUGGACUCUCCCCAAACAGUCACCCAUU